rnacentral:rRNA from 1 species
GACGAACGCUGGCGGCGUGCUUAACACAUGCAAGUCGAACGGAAAGGCCCUGCUUUUGUGGGGUGCUCGAGUGGCGAACGGGUGAGUAACACGUGAGUAACCUGCCCUUGACUUUGGGAUAACUUCAGGAAACUGGGGCUAAUACCGGCUAGGAGCUCCUGCUGCAUGGUGGGGGUUGGAAAGUUUCGGCGGUUGGGGAUGGACUCGCGGCUUAUCAGCUUGUUGGUGGGGUAGUGGCUUACCAAGGCUUUGACGGGUAGCCGGCCUGGGAGGGUGACCGGCCACAUUGGGCCUGAGAUACGGCCCGGACUCCUACGGGAGGCAGCAGUGGGGAGUAGUGCACAAUGGGCGGAAGCCUGAUGCAGCAACGCCGCGUGCGGGAUGACGGCCUUCGGGUUGUAAACCGCUUUCGCCUGUGACGAAGCGUGAGUGACGGUAAUGGGUAAAGAAGCACCGGCUAACUACGUG